CCUACGGGGGGCAGCAGUGGGGAAUAUUGCACAAUGGGGGAAACCCUGAUGCAGCGACGCCGCGUGAGUGAGGAAGUAUUUCGGUAUGUAAAGCUCUAUCAGCAGGGAAGAAAAUGACGGUACCUGACUAAGAAGCCCCGGCUAACGACGUUCCAGCAGCCGCGGUAAUACGUAGGGGGCAAGCGUUAUCCGGAUUUACUGGGUGUAAAGGGAGCGUAGACGGAAUAGCAAGUCUGAUGUGAAAACCCGGGGCUCAACUCCGGGAGUGCAUCGGAAACUGUUGAUCUAGAGUGAAGUAGAGGCAGGCGGAAUUCCUAGUGUAGCGGUGAAAUGCGUAGAUAUUAGGAGGAACACCAGUGGCGAAGGCGGCCUGCUGGGCUUUUACUGACGCUGAGGCUCGAAAGUGUGGGGAGCAAACAGGAUUAGAUACCCUUGUAGUC
rnacentral:rRNA from 1 species